rnacentral:rRNA from 1 species
GACGAACGCUGGCGGCGUGCUUAACACAUGCAAGUCGAACGGAAAGGCCCUGCUUUUGUGGGGUGCUCGAGUGGCGAACGGGUGAGUAACACGUGAGUAACCUGCCCUUGACUUUGGGAUAACUUCAGGAAACUGGGGCUAAUACCGGAUAGGAGCUCCUGCUGCAUGGUGGGGGUUGGAAAGUUUCGGCGGUUGGGGAUGGACUCGCGGCUUAUCAGCUUGUUGGUGGGGUAGUGGCUUACCAAGGCUUUGACGGGUAGCCGGCCUGAGAGGGUGACCGGCCACAUUGGGACUGAGAUACGGCCCAGACUCCUACGGGAGGCAGCAGUGGGGAAUAUUGCACAAUGGGCGGAAGCCUGAUGCAGCAACGCCGAGUGCGGGAUGACGGCAUUCGGGUUGUAAACCGCUUUCGCCUGUGACGAAGCGUGAGUGACGGUAAUGGGUAAAGAAGCACCGGCUAACUACGUG